rnacentral:pre_miRNA from 1 species
GAACCUGAAAUUUUGUCUCAGCCGGAUAUUUUAAACUGUUGAGCAAAGUUUCAGGUGUAU